rnacentral:rRNA from 1 species
UGGGGAAUCUUGGACAAUGGGCGAAAGCCUGAUCCAGCCAUGCCGCGUGUGUGAAGAAGGUCUUCGGAUUGUAAAGCACUUUAAGUUGGGAGGAAGGGCAUUAACCUAAUACGUUAGUGUUUUGACGUUACCGACAGAAUAAGCACCGGCUAACUCUGUGCCAGCAGCCGCGGUAAUACAGAGGGUGCAAGCGUUAAUCGGAAUUACUGGGCGUAAAGCGCGCGUAGGUGGUUUGUUAAGUUGGAUGUGAAAUCCCCGGGCUCAACCUGGGAACUGCAUUCAAAACUGACUGACUAGAGUAUGGUAGAGGGUGGUGGAAUUUCCUGUGUAGCGGUGAAAUGCGUAGAUAUAGGAAGGAACACCAGUGGCGAAGGCGACCACCUGGACUAAUACUGACACUGAGGUGCGAAAGCGUGGGGAGCAAACA